GACGAACGCUGGCGGCGUGCUUAACACAUGCAAGUCGAACGGAAAGGCCCCUUCGGGGGUACUCGAGUGGCGAACGGGUGAGCAACACGUGAGUAACCUGCCCUUGACUUCGGGAUAACUUCAGGAAACUGGGGCUAAUACCGGAUAGGAAUCCUUGCUGCAUGGUGGGGGUUGGAAAGCUUCGGCGGUUUUGGAUGGACUCGCGGCUUAUCAGCUUGUUGGUGGGGUAGUGGCUUACCAAGGCUUUGACGGGUAGCCGGCCUGAGAGGGCGACCGGCCACAUUGGGACUGAGAUACGGCCCAGACUCCUACGGGAGGCAGCAGUGGGGAAUAUUGCACAAUGGGCGGAAGCCUGAUGCAGCAACGCCGCGUGCGGGAUGACGGCCUUCGGGUUGUAAACCGCUUUCAGCAGGGGCGAAGCUUGUGGUGACGGUACCUGCAGAAGAAGCACCGGCUAACUACGU
rnacentral:rRNA from 1 species